UCCAUCGUUACAAUGGCCUCUUUAGACCCAGC
rnacentral:piRNA from 1 species